rnacentral:rRNA from 1 species
GACGAACGCUGGCGGCGUGCCUAAUACAUGCAAGUCGAGCGGAACUGGGGGGAGCUUGCUCCUUCCAGUUUAGCGGCGGACGGGUGAGUAACACGUGGGCAACCUGCCCUGCAGAUCGGGAUAACUCCGGGAAACCGGUGCUAAUACCGAAUAGUUUGGCGCCUCUCCUGAGGCGCUACGGAAAGACGGUUUCGGCUGUCACUGCAGGAUGGGCCCGCGGCGCAUUAGCUAGUUGGUGGGGUAACGGCCCACCAAGGCGACGAUGCGUAGCCGACCUGAGAGGGUGACCGGCCACACUGGGACUGAGACACGGCCCAGACUCCUACGGGAGGCAGCAGUAGGGAAUCUUCCGCAAUGGACGCAAGUCUGACGGCGCAACGCCGCGUGAGUGACGAAGGUUUUCGGAUCGUAAAACUCUGUUGUGAGGGAAGAACACGUACCAACUAACUAUUGGUACCUUGACGGUACCUCACCAGAAAGCCACGGCUAACUACGUGCCAGCCGCCGCAGUAA